rnacentral:rRNA from 1 species
CCAAUAGCGUAUAUUAAAGUUGUUGCAGUUAAAAAGCUCGUAGUUGAAUUUCGGGGUUAGUAGGCUGGUCGUGCCACUGGUAUGUACUGGUCUCACUGAUUCCUCCUUCCUGAUGAGCUGUCAUGCCAUUAAUUUGGUGUUGCAGGGAAUCUGGACUGUUACUUUGAAAAAAUUAGAGUGUUUAAAGCAGGCUAACGCUGGAAUACAUUAGCAUGGAAAAAUGAAAUAGGACGUUCGAUCCUAUUUUGUUGGUUUCUAGGAUUGACGUAAUGAUUAAUAGGGAUAGUUGGGGGCAUUAGUAUUCAAUUGUCAGAGGUGAAAUUCUUGGAUUUAUUGAAGACUAACUACUGCGAAAGCAUUUGCCAAGGAUGUUUUCAUUAAUCAAGAACGAAAGUUAGGGGAUCGAAGACGAUCAGAUACCGUCGUAGUCUUAACCAUAAACUAUGCCGACUAGGGAUCGGAUGAUGUUAAUUUUUUAAUGACUCAUUCGGCGCCUUACG